rnacentral:rRNA from 1 species
AAUAGAUACCCCGGUAGUCCACGACCGUAAACGAUGAGUGCUAAGUGUUAGAGGGUUUCCGCCCUUUAGUGCUGCAGCUAACGCAUUAAGCACUCCGCCUGGGGAGUACGGUCGCAAGACUGAAACUCAAAGGAAUUGACGGGGGCCCGCACAAGCGGUGGAGCAUGUGGUUUAAUUCGAAGCAACGCGAAGAACCUUACCAGGUCUUGACAUCCUCUGACAACUCUAGAGAUAGAGCGUUCCCCUUCGGGGGACAGAGUGACAGGUGGUGCAUGGUUGUCGUCAGCUCGUGUCGUGAGAUGUUGGGUUAAGUCCCGCAACGAGCGCAACCCUUGAUCUUAGUUGCCAGCAUUUAGUUGGGCACUCUAAGGUGACUGCCGGUGACAAACCGGAGGAAGGUGGGGAUGACGUCAAAUCAUCAUGCCCCUUAUGACCUGGGCUACACACGUGCUACAAUGGAUGGUACAAAGGGCUGCAAGACCGCGAGGUCAAGCCAAUCCCAUAAAACCAUUCUCAGUUCGGAUUGUAGG